ACUACCAAGAAGACAGCAAUUACUGAAACCAAAUGACUCAAAAUGUCGGCACUUCGUUUCUACGUGCUACUUUUUAUUUGUGUUUUGUUUAAUUCAUGUGGUGCGAUAACACAAUCAUUUUGGAUUAAACGUAAAUUAACAGAAAUAAUAAUUUCGCGAUAUUACAAAAGUUUUGAUGUUGAUACCAAAAUAAAAUGUAGUGUUCUAUGUUCUCAGUUGUAUAAUUGGCGCGAGCUUUAUUAUAAAAAUAAUGUAUGCUACUGUUUGGCGCCAAAUUAUACGCCAUUAUCAGAAACAACAGGAGAUCUGACGAUUGAUGUCGGUGAUUCUAUAUAUGAAAUGUUCCGAGACAGAUCUGAUUGUGUAUCAAAAGAAUACACCAUGUUUUCUGGUACUAAUUACUGUCUGAAGAUGAUGACUCCUCUAAACUGGACUGAGGCUGAAAAUUACUGUAAACAAGAUGGCGGAAACAUGGUUUCCGUGGAAACAGUAGAAAAACAAGCCAACGUAUUACUAAUAAGUCAAAAUGAAUAUUUCCUGGUAGGUGGUUACAUACCGAUCGGGGCUCCAAAUCAGGAAUCAUCCUAUCGAUGGAUCAGCAGACGUAAUGAGCCCAUCAACACUACAUUCUGGAAUACUGGCGAACCCAAUAAUAUGGGCGUUGAGAAAAUCGUACAGAUGUACCCAAGUGGACAUUUGAAUAACAGACCAUUAACUUAUGAGGAAACAUUUAUGUGUGAAAUUUUAACCUUUAAUUAAGAUACAUUUCACCUCUAUUUAUAUCGUCAUUGGGGAAUCUUGGAUAUGUUUUUUGUGGGGGCCAGGAAAAAUGGCAUGAUUAUUCCGUGGACUACUACGCAUCGAUGUUAGAUAUUACGUCCCCAUUCCAAAAUGGCGGCGAUGACAUCUUUUUUGGCCAAUAGACUAUAGUAGUACGCUCGUACUUAUUGUUGAAUA